rnacentral:rRNA from 1 species
CGGCCCGCACAAGCAGGCGGAGCGUGUGGUUUAAUUCGUUGCUACACGAAGAACCUUACCUGGGUUUGACAUAAUGGUGGUAGGGAUCCGAAAGGUGACCGACCCUUCGGGGAGCCAUUACAGGUGUUGCAUGGCUGUCGUCAGCUCGUGUCGUGAGAUGUUCGGUUAAGUCCGCUAACGAGCGCAACCCUCGCCGUAUGUUACAAGUGUCAUACGGGACUGCCGGUAAAAGCCGGAGGAAGGUGAGGAGGAUGUCAAGUCAGCAUGACCUUUAUAUCCAGGGCUACACACACGCUACAAUGGUCUGUACAAUUGGUUGCCAAGCCGCGAGGCGGAGCCAAUCCGUAAAGCAGGCCUCAGUUCAGAUUGCAGUCUGCAACUCGACUGCAUGAAGCCGGAGUUGCUAGUAACCGCAGGUCAGCAAUACUGCGGUGAAUACGUUCCCGGGCCUU